rnacentral:rRNA from 1 species
UACGUAGGGGGCGAGCGUUGUCCGGAUUUAUUGGGCGUAAAGCGCGCGCAGGCGGUUCGUUAAGUCCGAUGUGAAAGCUCCCGGCUCAACUGGGAGAGGUCUUCGGAUACUGGCGAACUCGAGGGAGGCAGAGGAAGGUGGAAUUCCGGGUGUAGUGGUGAAAUGCGUAGAGAUCCGGAGGAACACCAGUGGCGAAGGCGGAUCUCUGGGCCGAUACUGACGCUGAGGAGCGAAAGCGUGGGGAGCGAACAGG